UACGGGGGGGGCAAGCGUUGUUCGGAAUUACUGGGCGUAAAGGGCUUGUAGGUGGCCAACUAAGUCAGACGUGAAAUCCCUCAGCUUAACUGGGGAACUGCGUCUGAUACUGGAUGGCUUGAGUUUGGGAGAGGGGCGCGGAAUUCCAGGUGUAGCGGUGAAAUGCGUAGAUAUCUGGAGGAACACCGGUGGCGAAGGCGGCGUCCUGGACCAAUACUGACACUGAAAAGCGAAAGCCAGGGGAGCAAACGGG
rnacentral:rRNA from 1 species